rnacentral:rRNA from 1 species
AUUGAACGCUGGCGGCAGGCCUAACACAUGCAAGUCGAACGAGUGGCGGACGGGUGAGUAAUGUCUGGGAAACUGACUGAUGGAGGGGGAUAACUACUGGAAACGGUAGCUAAUACCGCAUACCAUCGGAUGUGCCCAGAUGGGAUUAGCUAGUGGGUGGGGUAAAGGCUCACCAAGGCGACGAUCCCUAGCUGGUCUGAGCGGAUGACCAGCCACACUGGAACUGAGACACGGUCCAGACUCCUACGGGAGGCAGCAGUGGGGAAUAUUGCACAAUGGGCGCAAAUCUGAUGCAGCCAUGCCGCGUGUAUGAAGAAGGCCUUCGGGUUGUAAAGUACUUUCAGCGGGGAGGCGUUACCCGCAGAAGAAGCACCGGCUAACUCCGUGCCAGCAGCCGCGGUAAUUC